CCGCGAGUCAGAACCAGAACCGCUGUCCUCAGCUGCACCUCGCCGCCUACCUCUGAAACUGCGCUGGCAGCAAUUCCUAAAAGUAACCUUACACCAAUGAAGCAGAAAGGAAAGACAAAACGCCCCUUAUCCAUUGUCAGACCAAAAAGAGUCGGAUUGCUCCCAGCACUGUAGCAGACAGAAGCCCUUCAGUUUUACAUCUACUCUGAGUUCUCAGGAAAUGUAGUAUGUAUCUUUACACACUGAGGAGCUGAACGAGAUCAAGCUGGAAGAAACUGAUGGGACAGGAACGAGAGCCAAGACAGCUUUCAACGUUUCACCUGCUAAUCAAACCAGCUCAGGGAACUCUGACAACAGCCAAGCAUCAAUGCCCAUCUAUUGUGAACAGAAAAACAGAUGCAUUUAAGAAACGCCAGAAAAGUAAUGGCCAAGUCAGGAAUAGAGUGUGGGCCUCCUGACUUGCAAUUUAAAGCUUUAUGUCCUCAGUCACGCUAGUGGAUAAAAUUAGAUCUGAAGUCCCACCUUU